UCAUGUGUUCAUGUGUUCAGCAGCUUCAUGUCUUCAUGUGUUCAUCAUCUUCAUGUGUUCAUGUGUUCAUCAUCUUCAUGUGUUCAUGUGUUCAGCAUCUUCAUGUGUUCAGCACCUUCAUGUGUUCAUGUGUUCAGCAUCUUCAUGUGUUCAGCAGCUUCCUGUGUUCAUGUGUUCAUCAGCUUCCUGUGUUCAUGUGUUCAGCAGCUUCCUGUGUUCAUGUGUUCAUCAGCUUCAUGUGUUCAUGUGUUCUUCACCUUCAUGUGUUCAGCAUCUUCAUGUGUUCAUCAUCUUCAUGUGUUCAUCACCUUCAUGUGUUCAUGUGUUCAGCAUCUUCAUGUGUUCAUCAUCUUCAUGUGUUCAU
ensembl:lncRNA